CGUGUGCUUACAAGUAGUCAGAGCCCGUUAAUGGGUGAUGGCGUGCCUUUUGUAGAAUGAACCGGCGAGUUACGAUUUGAUGCAAGGUUAAGCAGUAAAUGUGGAGCCGUAGCGAAAGCGAGUCUGAAUAGGGCGUUUAGUAUUUGGUCGUAGACCCGAAACCAGGUGAUCUACCCUUGGUCAGGUUGAAGUUCAGGUAACACUGAAUGGAGGACCGAACCGACUUACGUUGAAAAGUGAGCGGAUGAACUGAGGGUAGCGGAGAAAUUCCAAUCGAACCUGGAGAUAGCUGGUUCUCUCCGAAAUAGCUUUAGGGCUAGCCUCAAGUGAUGAUUAUUGGAGGUAGAGCACUGUUUGGACGAGGGGCCCCUCUCGGGUUACCGAAUUCAGACAAACUCCGAAUGCCAAUUAAUUUAACUUGGGAGUCAGAACAUGGGUGAUAAGGUCCGUGUUCGAAAGGGAAACAGCCCAGACCACCAGCUAAGGUCCCAAAAUAUAUGUUAAGUGGAAAAGGAUGUGGCGUUGCCCAGACAACUAGGAUGUUGGCUUAGAAGCAGCCAUCAUUUAAAGAGUGCGUAAUAGCUCACUAGUCGAGUGACACUGCGCCGAAAAUGUACCGGGGCUAAACAUAUUACCGAAGCUGUGGAUUGUCCUUUGGACAAUGGUAGGAGAGCGUUCUAAGGGCGUUGAAGCAUGAUCGUAAGGACAUGUGGAGCGCUUAGAAGUGAGAAUGCCGGUGUGAGUAGCGAAAGACGGGUGAGAAUCCCGUCCACCGAUUGACUAAGGUUUCCAGAGGAAGGCUCGUCCGCUCUGGGUUAGUCGGGUCCUAAGCUGAGGCCGACAGGCGUAGGCGAUGGAUAACAGGUUGAUAUUCCUGUACCACCUAUAAUCGUUUUAAUCGAUGGGGGGACGCAGUAGGAUAGGCGAAGCGUGCGAUUGGAUUGCACGUCUAAGCAGUAAGGCUGAGUAUUAGGCAAAUCCGGUACUCGUUAAGGCUGAGCUGUGAUGGGGAGAAGACAUUGUGUCUUCGAGUCGUUGAUUUCACACUGCCGAGAAAAGCCUCUAGAUAGAAAAUAGGUGCCCGUACCGCAAACCGACACAGGUAGUCAAGAUGAGAAUUCUAAGGUGAGCGAGCGAACUCUCGUUAAGGAACUCGGCAAAAUGACCCCGUAACUUCGGGAGAAGGGGUGCUCUUUAGGGUUAACGCCCAGAAGAGCCGCAGUGAAUAGGCCCAAGCGACUGUUUAUCAAAAACACAGGUCUCUGCUAAACCGUAAGGUGAUGUAUAGGGGCUGACGCCUGCCCGGUGCUGGAAGGUUAAGAGGAGUGGUUAGCUUCUGCGAAGCUACGAAUCGAAGCCCCAGUAAACGGCGGCCGUAACUAUAACGGUCCUAAGGUAGCGAAAUUCCUUGUCGGGUAAGUUCCGACCCGCACGAAAGGCGUAACGAUUUGGGCACUGUCUCAACGAGAGACUCGGUGAAAUCAUAGUACCUGUGAAGAUGCAGGUUACCCGCGACAGGACGGAAAGACCCCGUGGAGCUUUACUGUAGCCUGAUAUUGAAAUUCGGCACAGCUUGUACAGGAUAGGUAGGAGCCUUUGAAACGUGAGCGCUAGCUUACGUGGAGGCGCUGGUGGGAUACUACCCUAGCUGUGUUGGCUUUCUAACCCGCACCACUUAUCGUGGUGGGAGACAGUGUCAGGCGGGCAGUUUGACUGGGGCGGUCGCCUCCUAAAAGGUAACGGAGGCGCUCAAAGGUUCCCUCAGAAUGGUUGGAAAUCAUUCAUAGAGUGUAAAGGCAUAAGGGAGCUUGACUGCGAGACCUACAAGUCGAGCAGGGUCGAAAGACGGACUUAGUGAUCCGGUGGUUCCGCAUGGAAGGGCCAUCGCUCAACGGAUAAAAGCUACCCCGGGGAUAACAGGCUUAUCUCCCCCAAGAGUUCACAUCGACGGGGAGGUUUGGCACCUCGAUGUCGGCUCAUCGCAUCCUGGGGCUGUAGUCGGUCCCAAGGGUUGGGCUGUUCGCCCAUUAAAGCGGUACGCGAGCUGGGUUCAGAACGUCGUGAGACAGUUCGGUCCCUAUCCGUCGUGGGCGUAGGAAAUUUGAGAGGAGCUGUCCUUAGUACGAGAGGACCGGGAUGGACAUACCUCUGGUGUACCAGUUGUCGUGCCAACGGCAUAGCUGGGUAGCUAUGUGUGGACGGGAUAAGUGCUGAAAGCAUCUAAGCAUGAAGCCCCCCUCAAGAUGAGAUUUCCCAACUUCGGUUAUAAGAUCCCUCAAAGAUGAUGAGGUUAAUAGGUUCGAGGUGGAAGCAUGGUGACAUGUGGAGCUGACGAAUACUAAUCGAUCGAAGACUUAAUCAA
rnacentral:rRNA from 2 species